rnacentral:rRNA from 1 species
GGGGGAACCAAUUUAAUUUAAAUAAAAAAAACAGAAAGGAAAAAUAAAAAAAAUUCAAGAAAAAAUUUUGGGUCUAAUAACGGAUGAAAUCGGGUACACUAAAUUAAAAAAAAUGUUGAAAAUUUCAAUCUUUUCAAUCUAUUGGGUAGAAAAGAGGAUUAGAUACCCUCGUAUUCAAUAUAAAAAAGUUAGUAGUAGUAGAGUGGCAUAAAUUCGAAACUAAAAAAAAAUGGCGGUGUUUCUUAGACCGUUCGGAGGAACUUGUCUCUUAAUCGAUAAUCCCCGAAGAGAAUCACUAUGGAAUUUAAAAAUUUGUAUACCGUUGUUGUCAGAAAAUUUUAUAAAAAAAUUGUAAACUUUCUUGACCCUAAUCAAAGAGGAAUAAUUCAAAUCAAGGUGCAGUUUACGCCAUAGAGAAGAUGAGUUACAAUAACUUAAAAAGUUAAACGAACUUUAAUUUGAAAUAAAUUUUAGGAAGGUGGAUUCGAAAGUAAUUUUUAUACCUUAGAGUAAAAAAAUGAGUGAGGCUCUGAAACAUGUACACAUCGCCCGUCGCU